GGCUGCAUGGCGCAGUCUGAUGCAGCAACGCCGCGUGAGUGAUGAAGGCCUUCGGGUCGUAAAGCUCUUUUCUCAGGGAAGAUAAUGACAGUACCUGAAAGACAUGCCUGCGCUAACUCCUUGCCAGCAGCCCCGGUAAUACGGAGGGAGCUAGCGUUGUU
rnacentral:rRNA from 1 species